UUCCCUUCGGGGACAUUGGUGACAGGUGGUGCAUGGUUGUCGUCAGCUCGUGUCGUGAGAUGUUGGGUUAAGUCCCGCAACGAGCGCAACCCUUGUCUUUAGUUGCCAUCAUUAAGUUGGGCACUCUAGAGAGACUGCCAGGGAUAACCUGGAGGAAGGUGGGGAUGACGUCAAAUCAUCAUGCCCCUUAUGCUUAGGGCUACACACGUGCUACAAUGGGUAGUACAGAGGGUUGCCAAGCCGUAAGGUGGAGCUAAUCCCUUAAAGCUACUCUCAGUUCGGAUUGUAGGCUGAAACUCGCCUACAUGAAGCUGGAGUUACUAGUAAUCGCAGAUCAGAAUGCUGCGGUGAAUGCGUUCCCGGGUCUUGUACACACCGCCCGUCACACCACGGGAGUUGGAGACGCCCGAAGCCGA
rnacentral:rRNA from 1 species